rnacentral:rRNA from 1 species
GACGAACGCUGGCGGCGUGCUUAACACAUGCAAGUCGAACGGAAAGGCCCUGCUUUUGUGGGGUGCUCGAGUGGCGAACGUGUGAGUAACACGUGAGUAACCUGCCCUUGACUUUGGUAUAACUUCAGGAAACUGGUGCUAAUACCGGAUAGGAGCUCCUGCGGCUUGGUGUGGGUUGGAAAGUUUCGGCGGUUGGGGAUGGACUCCCGGCUUAUCAGCUUGUUGGUGGGGUAGUGACUUACCAAGGCUUUGACGGGUAGCCGGCCUGAGAGGGUGACCGGCCACAUUGGGACUGAGAUACGGCCCAGACUCCUACGGGAGGCAGCAGUGGGGAAUAUUGCACAAUGGGCGGAAGCCUGAUGCAGCAACGCCGCGUGGGGGAUGAAGGCCUUCGGGUUGUAAACCGCUUUCGCCUGUGACGAAGCGUGAGUGACGGUAAUGGGUAAAGAAGCACCGGCUAACUACGUG